GAUAGGAAUGAGAUAGAAUAGAGCAUAACUUUCACUCCCUACACUCUCAGUCUGAGAAGCAGUAAAAGAAAAUGGCUUCACUUUCCCUCUCCACACCAACCUCUCUUUCCUUCGCAUCAUCCUCCAUCUUCUUCUCUUCACACCAAUUCCACACUUUCUCUUCUUCCAAAUCCAACAACAAGUUUCCCAUUUUACCCUCCAAAAAACCCCUAUCCAUUUCCUGCAAGGCCUCCCCUCCUCUUCCCGUCCUCAACUUCUCCGGCGAGAGGGUCGGCGAGUCCUUUCUCGACCUCCGCUCCGCCCCUCCCGACACCGCCCGCGCCGUCGUCCACCGCGCCGUCGUCACCGACUUGCAGAACAAGCGCCGCGGCACCGCCUCCACCCUCACCCGCGGCGAGGUCCGCGGCGGCGGCCGCAAGCCCUUCCCACAGAAGAAGACCGGCCGCGCCCGCCGCGGCUCCAACCGCACGCCCCUCCGCCCCGGCGGAGGCGUCGUCUUCGGCCCGAAGCCCCGCGACUGGUCUAUCAAGAUCAACCGCAAGGAGAAGCGCCUCGCCAUCUCCACCGCCGUCGCAAGCGCCGCCGCCAGUGCCGUCGUGGUGGAGGACUUCGCGACGGAGUUCGCGGAGAAGCCGAAGACGAAGGAGUUCAUCGCGGCAAUGAAGCGGUGGGGGCUUGAUCCGAAGGAGAAGGCGAUGUUCUUGAUGACGGAGGUGCCGGAGAACGUGAGGCUUUCCAGCAGGAACAUUGGGACCUUGAAGAUGCACACGCCGAGGACGCUGAAUUUGUAUGAUAUUCUUGACGCGGAUAAGCUCGUGCUCACGCAGGGUGCUGUGGAUUACUUGAAUCAGAGGUAUGGGGGUGAUCAUGAAGGGAGUGAUGAUGAAGAUGAAGAAGAAGAAGAAUAUGAAGAGGGUGAGGAGGAAGGUGCAGUGAAUGGUGAAGAAGGACCUGACGAAGAGGAUGGUAAUGUGGUAAAUUGAGGGUUUAAAGUCUUCUUUGUGCCAUUUUACAGAGGAAAUUGCUGAUACAGGGGAUGGAAGGUACAAUCUCUAUCAUGAAUGAGCUUCAUGUGUGGAGUAUGUACUCCAUUAUGGUGCAGUAGGAGGUAGGGAACAAUUAUCCUUCAAAUACAUCUAUAUUAUCACAAAAAACAAAUAUAGUUGAGUUAGUGAAUAAAUCAGUUAAUGGUUACAAUACUAAAAAGUUUCUUAAGAAGAUAUUGUAUGUUAGCACAAAGUGAUUUUUGUUAACAAAUCCAAUUGCAAUAAGACAUUGAUGUGUCACAGAUGAUGUCAAACUCUUGAGUAGAAAGAAAGUCCAACUUUGGAGCAUAGAUAAGGAAACUAAGACAAUAUUGUAUUGACUAGCAAUGACAUAACUCAUGUCAGGAAUGAUCAUUCACUUGUCAACGAAUGUUAUUCGGGAACAUACAAAGAAUUUAAUAAUUUAACCAAUCUGUUGAUAAGUGUUAUGUUGUUAA